rnacentral:snRNA from 1 species
AUGUUAAGUCAUAAUAUUUGUCAUGAUGAUACAGAGAAGAUUAGCAUGGCCCCUGCACAAGGAUGACUUGCAAAUUCACGAAUCGCUCCAUAUUAAA